AUAAGAUGUCAAUAGGAGUCAAUUGAAAUGCGGCGCCAAGAGGAGGGAUUAACCGCGCAAAUUACCCAUCUGAAGCAAAAGGGCGCGGAUCCUCUUUCGGAUCGGGUCAACGUGUGGAUUCCCCUUCUUUAAACGGCGUCGUUUUUUAACAAGUUAUUUAAAACCUCUUUUUCUCCUAUGUUCUUUUCCAAAUACAACCAACCUUUUAAUUUAAAAAAAAAGCCCUGAAAUCAAUCUACUAGGGUUUCAUUAGCACGCAGCCGCAGAACCACCAUCAUGUUUGGCGACCAACAGCGCGCAAACAGUGCCCCGAUCCUGCCGUUGAAAGUGCUCAAACAUACCCAAAAGGAUUUAGUUCUAUGGACGCAAGGCUGUACGGAGGAAGAGGCCGUGGAGGCCGUGCGUGGGAACCACUCGUGGGAGCCUUGAUCUACUGUUGUUCUAGCGUAUUCCGGAAACCUCUAGGAUUUCUGGUAUUUUCUGUUGUUGGGCCUUUUUUGGGUCAUUUCGGGUUUUGGCCAUUUGUAAAUCGGGCUAGAUGUUUUGGACUUGGUAUUUUAUUUCUGUUUCAGGCUAUGUUUUGUUAUUGGACUUUGGGUUAAUGUUUUGGUUUAAUUUAGGCCCAGAAUUUUGUAAAUGGACAUUGGCCUCAUAAACACUUUAGUUUAUUUAUUUCUGUUUGAUACA